GCCAGCCUCGGGCAAAACUGAGGAGGAGCUGAAAUACCACCUUCGGCAUCCUCAGCUCUCAGUUUACCUGGCGGGCUUGCCUGCACCAAGCAAGCGCUCAGGGAGCGUCUGACAAAAGGCAAAUUGCUACAGAAUUGAAACCACUGGCUUCGUAUUUAUGAGAAGUUUGGGGCUGAGUCUCUAGCCCUGGAAUUUAACCGCCUCUUUUUGAUUAGAAGUGCAGAAUUACACUUUUAAAAAGUUUCUCUAGGGUCAGCCCAGUGUCAGAGUGGAGUGAUCACCCUCUGCCCCAUCCCACUCUUCGCAGAAAGGAGCUGCCACGAGACUGUGAGUGUUGACCGUGCGAGGACCAAGGUAGGAGUCACUAUGCUGCCGUCUUCAAACAGCAGGGUGGGGCUUCCUGGUGGAGAGCGGAGGUAGAGUUCGCAUCAGCUGAAGGCGGGCUGCCUCCCAGUUGUCCUGUAUCUUCUCUGCUGUCUUCUCUUUUCCAGUGAAGACAUUUCAUAAAUACCUUAGCUCUGAAAAUUUCUAUUUUAUCUUCAGGAGAGUCUUAGAUUUCAAGCUGUUUCAGGUGAGUGCAUGCUUCCUCACUCAUUGGAUCGUUGUCUUAAAUGACCGCACGAAAAACAGGGAUAACAUCAAAAUUUCCUAACCUCUCUGCAUUAGUGCCGAAAGACAGCACCCGUGCCUGCCUCAGCCAAGCCUUGAGGAAGUUUGGUGGCAUUAGAAAUCUUCAAAGAAACCUCAGUCAGCUGUGCGCCUUUUCAGCAGCGUUACUGACAUUGUUACUGGCAGUUCUUCCCUGUGUAUGGUAAUUGAAGCCAAGGCUAAGAGAUGUGCUGGUUAGACCUGUUCUGUGCCCACUGAGGAGGAAGGAAGGCGUCUGCUUGGCAGUUGACGUUGUGCAACUCAGCUCACUGUCUUUACUAACUUUUAUUUAACCUUACGGGCAAUCUUAUUCUUGAGGAUAAAAACAGCGCUUGUGUUUUUAAUGUUCUCUUCCUUCUCUGCAGCUCUGGCCGCCUUGUGACUGGGCUCACGUGGCUCUUAGGGUGGCCGUGCUUUUUCAUCGUUGCUAGUGUGCUGUUUGCCUGAGAAGACUCAGCCCUCCGAUGGACCCCAGGGCCGUGUAAUCCCAAGUUAAUUAAAAAUAAACUUUUAUGAAUAUUUAAGAGUCAUU
ensembl:lncRNA